AACCAUGGAUGCUCGCUGUCGGCGAUAAAUUGCCGGUGGCCUAGCGAAAGCGUUAAGCAUCCCACCUGGGGAGUACGCCGGCAACGGUGAAACUCAAAGGAAUUGACGGGGGCCCGCACAAGCGGAGGAACAUGUGGUUUAAUUCGAUGAUACGCGAGGAACCUUACCCGGGCUUGAAUUGCAGAGGAAAGAUCCAGAGAUGGUGAUGCCCUUCGGGGUCUCUGUGAAGGUGCUGCAUGGCUGUCGUCAG
rnacentral:rRNA from 1 species